AUUAAUAGUAAAAGAAUAUAUUUGAGAAUAUUUACUCAAACACCUUGUGUGCAUUGCUUUCUUGUGUCAUUUCUGUUCUUUCAUUGCUCUUUCGGUUUGAGUUGCUUCCACUAUAUUUCGGUGCCUUAGAGAAUGUCAUAAGAAUUCUCAUCUUUUGAAAGUUAUGUUGACUUAGGUGGAUUUGAAGCAAAGAAAUUGUCUAAGGCCGUGCUGUUUGCUAGACUUAAGUUCUUGCCCUGUAAGAAUUGGUAUUGGAGCUAAGGUUUCAAAGGCGCCAAUUGAGAUUAGAAAAUAGUAAAUGAGCAGGUUGAGCCUAUAGAGACCCGUUGUAAGGCAAGAAAGCUAGCAGCUUGAGGGAUAUGCUGUCAGUUUUGGAAGACAAGGUUGCAAAACUUGAGGGCUCCAUGGGUGAUGUCUGUUUGGGAUUAAUUUGUAUAUUUUUAUGCAUUGUGUGAUUUAUACUUUAAGACACGAAAGAGUCAAUCAUGAUAAGCCUUUUUUUUAGAAAUGAUUAUUUUAGGUUGUCUCCCCGAAUUGAAACAUUAUCUUGAAAUUUUAAAUCUACAAGUUUGACAUCAAAACCAUAAUUUUUGAGCACUUGUGGAGCAAAAGGAGCGAUAACCGAAGCAUCGAAGCAAGCUACAAGAGCCAUAUUGGCUGAACAAUUCCAUACAGCUAGGCCACACAGCCAUGUUACCCACAUGGGCAUAUGGUAUGCCAUGUCGAUUUCAUGGAAUUACGCACCGAACAAUGAAAGAUCUCGAUUUUUAAGUUCUUCAGGCAUUCUAAGAUGUAUAUAUGACAAAAAUAAGAAAAUAAGAGAGAGCCGCCAAAGAAUGUUCAAGAAAACAACUCGAUAAACACCAUUGAAGCCGACUUUGAAGUAGAUUUAUGUCAAGAUUGAAGAUUCCCAAUUGAUUUCUUAGGAAGUUAUCAUGAGUUUCUUUGUUUCUUUAGGUUAUAUUGUAUCUUGGAUGUUUCUAUUUCCAAGCAUGAACUAAUUUUCUAAA